rnacentral:lncRNA from 1 species
AUGUAAUUCUAUAUGCCAAGAUUCUAUCCUAAAAACUAAAUUUCAUAUAAAGAUCUAAAUAAAAAUUAUUAAAAGGAAAAUUUAAAAAAAACUAUAAUUAUGUCAGCCAAGAACAUAAGAGAAUUUUAAACACAAUUUUGAACAGAGAAUGCCUUUUUAUUUUUUACUUUUUUUUUUUUUGGAGACGGAGUCUCGCUCUGUCGCUCAAGCUCAAGUGCAGUGGCAUGAUCUUGGCUCAAGUAGAGACGGGGUUUC